rnacentral:rRNA from 1 species
AGGAGAGUUUGAUCCUGGCUCAGAACGAACGCUGGCGGCGCGUCUGUAAGCAUGCAAGUCGAGCGGUAAGGAGGUAGCUUGCUACUUCCCUAGAGCGGCGGACUGGUGAGUAACGCGUGGGUGACGUACCCUUUGGUUGGGGAUAGCCGGUAGAAAUACCGGGUAAUACCGAAUAAGACCUCUGGUAGAAAGAUUAGAGAGGAAAGCGGCUUCGGCCGCGCCGAAGGAACGGCCCGCGUACUAUUAGCUAGUUGGUGAGGUAACGGCCCACCAAGGCGACGAUAGUUAUCCGGCCUAAGAGGGUGAACGGACACAUUGGGACUGAGAUACGGCCCAGACUCCUACGGGAGGCAGCAGCUAAGAAUAUUCCGCAAUGGAGGAAACUCUGACGGAGCGACGCCGCGUGGAUGAUGAAGGCCGGAAGGUUGUAAAAUCCUUUUGAGUGUGAUGAAUAAAGCUUACAGGAAAUGGUAAGAAGAUGACCGUAGCACUUGAAUAAGGGGCGGCUAAUUACGUGCCAGCAGCCGCGGUAACACGUAAGCCCCGAGCGUUGUUCGGAAUUAUUGGGCGUAAAGGGCAUGUAGGCGGUUGUGCAAGCUUGGUGUGAAAUGCCGGGGCUUAACUCCGGCACUGCGUUGAGAACUGCACGACUAGAGUAACUGAGGGGCAGCCGGAAUUCCAGGUGUAGGGGUGAAAUCUGUAGAUAUCUGGAAGAACACCAAUGGCGAAGGCAGGCUACCAGCAGAUUACUGACGCUGAGGUGCGAAGGUGCGGGGAGCAAACAGGAUUAGAUACCCUGGUAGUCCCCU